rnacentral:lncRNA from 1 species
AAAGCGAGAACGGAAUGCCAACACUAUGCCAGGGCAAAAAGGUUGAAAGGCCUCUGGUGCCAUUGCUGUUCUUUGAAAAACUCACCGUGCGGCGUUCUUCGUGACUGAACAGACAUCUCGGGAUCCCUCGAGAGAGUCGAUUCAUCAUUCGACAGGUGUUUCCACGUGUGUGGAGGACCUUUUGCAUGCCAGGCAUGCGAUUUUGACCCAAGCAGACGGGAUAGCUACCUUCAUAAAGCUUCCAGUCUAAUGAGGCGGAAGAGGGAGAAAACAAAGAGGGCCCCAACAGGAGAAUCUUGCAGGGGAGAGGGAAACAUUUUUUUCUUUUCCUGAAUUAGAAUCAGCAGCUUUCCAGGUCCUCCCUGUCCGUCUCCACCUGCCUUCUGACCUGGGAGGCUGACCUGAGCGGCCUGAAUCAGCUCUUGGCUGAUGGGGCUCCAGGAAGGGGCAAGGAAUGUGAGGUGAGGGUCUUUGCUUGUGGCUUCCCUACUGGGUCUCUUUUUUUUUUUUUUUNNNNNNNNNNNNNNNNNNNNNNNNNNNNNNNNNNNNNNNNNNNNNNNNNNNNNNNNNNNNNNNNNNNNNNNNNNNNNNNNNNNNNNNAUCGGAGCUGUAGCCACCGGCCUACGCCAGAGCCACAGCAACGCGGGAUCCGAGCCGCGUCUGCAACCUACACCACAGCUCACGGCAACGCCGGAUCGUUAACCCACUGAGCAAGGGCAGGGACUGAACCCGCAACCUCAUGGUUCCUAGUCGGAUUCGUUAACCACUGCGCCACGACGGGAACUCCCCUACUGGGUCUCUUAAAGCUGGCAGGAUCCCUGCAUACAAGAUCCCAACUCCUCUCCAGGAGAGCUUCGCCAGGCAGCUUUUUUUGAGUUCCUCUCUCUGGGUUUUGUUAACCAUUCUCUCACUCACCUCUUAAGGCCCAGGCCACCGCGCCCUCCUGACCCCUUCCUCUGUCCGUCCCUCACUUUGGUACAGAAUCUUUACUUAAUCUGUUGGGACUCUCCUAAUUGGAGCGAGCCAUCUGUUUCCUGUUUCCUGCUGCGAUGUGUCUGACUCAACUCGACACACACUCUUAAUAGAGGCAACCAGAUUGUCACCAGACUGUAGUUGGAAUGAUUUGCUCUGUUGAUCCUGGUGGCUGAACAGCCCAGAUAUACUGGUCUGGCUGACAGGCUCACUGCUCCUGUUUUCAUCACCACAUGGCCCAGCAGCCUCUCAAUUCCCCAUCCCAAGGAAAAAGAAACUUCACGGAUGAACUUAGGGGAACAGUCAUCCUCAGGGGCUUACGAACUGAAACAGUUUGCUUGCUUGCUUUUAAAGUUCAGAUUUGUAUCUCACAAAAACCCUCAUGUUAAAUAAGCGUCUGUGCCAAAGCUAUUUUUAAUAACAGCAUGGGCUGGCGUUCCCACUGCGGCACAGUAGGUUAGGAAUCCAACUGCAGGUGCUCGGGUCACCACGGAGGCGCAGGUUUGAUGACUGGCUUGUGCGGUGGGUUAAAAGAUCCCACAGUGGGUUAAAGGUUGCUGCAGCUGCAGUGUUGGUCACAGCUCUGGCUCAGAUGCAGUCUCUGGCCUGGGAACUCCUAUAUGCUGCAGGUGAGGCCAUUACAAAAAAAAUAGUGUAAGUAGAUGGUGUAAGAGCUAGAUGUGUAUUUCUCCUUGGUGCAUUUUCAAUGCCCAGCAGGCUAUGGAUGAAAUCAUGGCUCUGGUAAUCACACCUUUAAAAUAAAAAAGAGUUUGGAGUUCCCUGAUGCGCUAGCAGUUAAGGAGCUGGUGGUGUCACUGCUGGGGCUCACGUUCAAUCCCUGACCUAGGAACUUCC